CAGAAAAAUUUGGGGAGGGGUCCUCAGGAGGGUUUGGGGUUUUUUUUGGGGUGGAAUUUGGGGGUCUCUGACCCCCUCUGUCCCCCCCAGGAACCCGUGAGGAGUUGGUGGAGCGGCUCCAGGCCUACACCCUACAGACUGGGAUCGUUCUGAGCCGCCCCACCCUUCGCCCCGAGGAGGGGGACAAAGCCCCGCCCCCCCAGUUGCCCCCAGCUCUGCCCCUGCAGCACCCAUUGGUGCCGCCCCCUCCCCCGCCGGGCUUGGGGUUGAAUUUUGGGUUGGGGGCGCCCGUGGGUGGGGUCUCUGUAC